rnacentral:rRNA from 1 species
CAGCCGCCACGGUAAUACGGAGGGUGCAAGCGUUAAUCGGAAUUACUGGGCGUAAAGCGCACGCAGGCGGUUUGUUAAGUCAGAUGUGAAAUCCCCGAGCUUAACUUGGGAACUGCAUUUGAAACUGGCAAGCUAGAGUCUUGUAGAGGGGGGUAGAAUUCCAGGUGUAGCGGUGAAAUGCGUAGAGAUCUGGAGGAAUACCGGUGGCGAAGGCGGCCCCCUGGACAAAGACUGACGCUCAGGUGCGAAAGCGUGGGGAGCAAACAGGAUUAGAUACCCGCGUAGUCCCUGUCUCUUAUAA